GACGAACGCUGGCGGCGCGCCUAACACAUGCAAGUCGAACGAGCGAGAGAGAGCUUGCUUUCUCGAGCGAGUGGCGAACGGGUGAGUAACGCGUGAGGAACCUGCCUCAAAGAGGGGGACAACAGUUGGAAACGACUGCUAAUACCGCAUAAGCCCACGACCCGGCAUCGGGUUGAGGGAAAAGGAGCAAUCCGCUUUGAGAUGGCCUCGCGUCCGAUUAGCUAGUUGGUGAGGUAAUGGCCCACCAAGGCGACGAUUGGUAGCCGGACUGAGAGGUUGAACGGCCACAUUGGGACUGAGACACGGCCCAGACUCCUACGGGAGGCAGCAGUGGGGGAUAUUGCACAAUGGGGGAAACCCUGAUGCAGCGACGCCGCGUGGAGGAAGAAGGUUUUCGGAUCGUAAACUCCUGUCGUUAGGGACGAUAAUGACGGUACCUAACAAGAAAGCACCGGCUAACUACGUG
rnacentral:rRNA from 1 species